rnacentral:rRNA from 1 species
GUCCUUUUGUUUUAUAUUUAAGGUUUAACCUGCCCACUGAAUAAUUUAAAUGGCCGCAGUAUUUUAACUGUGCAAAGGUAGCAUAAUCAUUAGUUUUUUAAUUAAAAGCUUGUAUGAAAGGUUGGACGAGGUAAAAACUGUCUUUAUUUAAUUAAUUAUAAAAUUUAAUUUUUAAGUUAAAAAGCUUAAAUUUUUUUAAAAGACGAGAAGACCCUAUAGAUCUUUAUAUUUAUUAUUUUAUUUUUAAUUAAGAUUUAUUUAAAUUUUAUUAUAUUAAAUAUUUUAUUGGGGUAAUAAGAAGAUUUAUAAAAUUCUUUUAUAUAUUAUUCAUUGAUUAGUGUUUUGAUGAUCCAGUUUUAUUGAUUAUAAGAUUAAGUUACCUUAGGGAUAACAGCGUAAUUUUUUUAGAGAGUUCAUAUCGAUAAAAAAGUUUGCGACCUCGAUGUUGGAUUAAAGAUUAAUUUAGGUGUAGAUGUUUAAAUUUUUGGUCUGUUCGACCAUUAAAUCUUUACAUGAUCUGAGUUCAGACCGGUGUAAGCCAGGUCGGUUUCUAUCUUUAAUAAUAUAAUAUAUUUUAGUACGAAAGGACCAAAUAUAUAAUAUAUAAAUAUUUUUAAUUUUUGAAUAUUAUUAAUUAUUUUGGCAGAUUAGUGCAAUGAAUUUAGAAUUCAUAUAUGUAAAUAUUUACAAAUAAUACUUGUUUUAUAUAGAUAUAAUAUUUUCUUUUAUUUGUAUAUUAUUAUUAGUUAUUUGUGUA